rnacentral:lncRNA from 1 species
UAAAAAAGAAAAUUAGUUUUUGAUUAAAUAAAUUUCUUUUAAUGCCAUUAUUUUUAAAUGUGCAUCAGUUACUUGUAUGUAUAUAAAGAUAUGUUGUAUACAUAGAAGUUAGAUAAUUAAUAAGAAUAAUUUUCUCUCAUCCUCUUUAUUCUCUUGGAUUCAAACUGGCUUCAGAAGGAAUUACUAAGCUUUUUCAACAAUGGAAGAUACUUCAAAUUCUUUUAAAUCCAUCAUUCCUAUUCUUGUAUUGGUUUCAUAGCCUCUCACUGCAGUGUACAUGUGUUCACUAGCUUGCUUGUUGCCACUUCCCAGUAACGCAAGUAUUUUCAGCAACUUAAUCUACAAAAGGAAAGUAGCAAAUCUAAGCAAAAGGAACAAGUAACAUGCAGAAACAAAACGGUCCUGACGUCCUGUUUGGAUAAACUUGUCCAUAAGCACUUAUAUCCAAACAUGAGCAUUAAUUAAUGUUGAAUUUAAUAGAACCUGAAUGAAGGGUGCAGGCAUUUGGUGAUAAUCAUAAGUCUUGGGCAAAUUUAAUACCUGAAUGAAGUAAUCAUAUUCUACUGAAGGGUUGGGGUCGUAUAAAAUAGUUUUCCCUUCUGAUCAUUUUAAUUAACAUGAAAGAAUUUUGAAGGAUUGGGUCAAAUUUAUGGCCAUAGCUGUCCCUCACUAUCAAUUUUAUUGUCAUACUCAACUUUUGUUGGUCUGCUGGGUUGCAAUUAAUCUGAGUAGGUUAUGGUGUAGCAGCAACUGCCUUCAUACCACUGCCAUCCUUUGCUUCCAAUUCCAAUCAUUGGCUCGGAUUAGUGUUGUUGCUAUAUAUAUGCAGUCUGCUGAAAUCGAAGCUGAUUGGCUAUCUGAGAUUGAAGCCGUGCAUCCAGAUUAGUGUUAGCAAUAGGAAGUCCUCUACAUAUCAUCAAGAAUUCCUAUACAUUGGCGUAGUUUCCUCCCAUUGCAUCAAGAAGUGCCUUCAAGUAAUUCCUAUGGACACACAAUGCCAAAAGACACCUAGAGAGAUAGAUAGAUAGAGUUGAAAGAAUAUAUAUAUAACCCAUUUGAUAAGUACCUUUUACCAGUGUUUUAAGAAAUAUUUUACUUGCAAAACAUACUUCAACAUCAUAUUCUGAAGCAUGAACAAUUCAGAAAUAUUCUC